AAACCACUAUGCAAAAUUAUACAAAAUCUGCACAGGAAAUACUCCUAAUAAUGAAUUCCACAAUGUUCUAUGAACUUGCACUAAAGAAUAUUAUAUUGGAGCUUGGAACACAAAACUGCAAGAGAAGGAGUGUCAGGUGCAACAAGUGAAUCCAAGGAAAGUGCCGAUAAACCUGCUGAUUCAGAUCCCAGUGACCCUGUACUGCUAGUACGAGCCGCAGGAGGACGAGAUUGUCUAAAACACAAAAAGAUAAAAAUGAAGAUAUCUUCAAGUUUCAAGUUGGUUGAUAAUAAAUUAAACCAUAUGAAAGAUCAAUACAGUACUCCACAGCUUGGAUGAGUUAGGUACAUUAAGGAAAGUCUCAUUAUGAGUUCAUACAACAAACCAGAUAUACGAUGCAAUCAACAGAACUGUAGUCAGAUGGAAAUCUGGAUGACUUGCAACAAUGGAUGCUACAUGAUAUUAGAAAGACGAGUUGAAGAAAUUUUCCUCUAGCCUAUCACAGAUUUAGUUCUGAACAUACGAAGUUUUGCUGUUUGUUUUUCCUGGAACUUUAUCCAGGAUUCUCUUUACAGACGUGCUCUUCUAAUACCUGUAGUUCAUUAACUUACACAGCUG